UACGAAGGGGGCUAGCGUUGCUCGGAAUCACUGGGCGUAAAGCGCACGUAGGCGGAUUGAUAAGUCAGGGGUGAAAUCCUGGAGCUCAACUCCAGAACUGCCUUUGAUACUGGCGAUCUCGAGUCCGGGAGAGGUGAGUGGAACUGCGAGUGUAGAGGUGAAAUUCGUAGAUAUUCGCAAGAACACCAGUGGCGAAGGCGGCUCACUGGCCCGGUACUGACGCUGAGGUGCGAAAGCGUGGGGAGCAAAUAGG
rnacentral:rRNA from 1 species